UGACUUCGGAAGGGGCGUAUUUAUUAGAUUAAAAACCAAUGCCCUCUGGGCUCCUUGGUGAAUCAUGAUAACUUCACGAAUCGCACGGCCUUGCGCNGGCGAUGGCUCAUUCAAAUUUCUUCCCUAUCAACUUUCGAUGUUUGGGUAGUGGCCAAACAUGGUUGCAACGGGUAACGGAGGGUUAGGGCUCGACCCCGGAGAAGGAGCCUGAGAAACGGCUACUACAUCCAAGGAAGGCAGCAGGCGCGCAAAUUACCCAAUCCCGAUUCGGGGAGGUAGUGACAAUAAAUACUGAUACAGGGCUCUUUCGGGUCUUGUAAUCGGAAUGAGUACAAUUUAAAUCCCUUAACGAGGAACAAUUGGAGGGCAAGUCUGGUGCCAGCAGCCGCGGUAAUUCCAGCUCCAAUAGCGUAUAUUAAAGUUGUUGUGGUUAAAAAGCUCGUAGUUGAACCUUGGGCCUGGCUGGCCGGUCCGCCUCACCGCGUGUACUGGUCCGGCCGGGCCUUUCCCUCUGUGGAACCUCAUGCCCUUCACUGGGUGUGCUGGGGAAACAGGACUUUUACUUUGAAAAAAUUAGAGUGCUCCAGGCAGGCCUAUGCUCGAAUACAUUAGCAUGGAAUAAUAAAAUAGGACGUGCGGUUCUAUUUUGUUGGUUUCUAGGACCGCCGUAAUGAUUAAUAGGGACAGUCGGGGGCAUCAGUAUUCAAUUGUCAGAGGUGAAAUUCUUGGAUUUAUUGAAGACUAACUACUGCGAAAGCAUUUGCCAAGGAUGUUUUCAUUAAUCAGGAACGAAAGUUAGGGGAUCGAAAACGAUCAGAUACCGUUGUAGUCUUAACCAUAAACUAUGCCGACUAGGGAUCGGACGAUGUUAUUUUUUGACUCGUUCG
rnacentral:rRNA from 1 species